CACGUAAGGGGCGAGCGUUGUUCGGAAUUAUUGGGCGUAAAGGGCGCGUAGGCGGCAUAGCAAGUCAGAUGUGAAAUAUCCCAGCUUAACUGGGGGAGCGCGUUUGAAACUGCUGUGCUGGAGUCUAGGAGGGGAAGCUGGAAUUCCUGGUGUAGGGGUGAAAUCUGUAGAUAUCAGGAAGAACACCGGUGGCGAAGGCGAGCUUCUGGCCAUAGACUGACGCUGAGGCGCGAAAGCGUGGGGAGCGAACAGG
rnacentral:rRNA from 1 species